AAAAAUCGAGAGGGUUCAAGUCCCUCUAUCCCCA
rnacentral:tRNA from 1 species